GGGGAAUCUUGCGCAAUGGGCGAAAGCCUGACGCAGCCAUGCCGCGUGAAUGAUGAAGGUCUUAGGAUUGUAAAAUUCUUUCACCGGGGACGAUAAUGACGGUACCCGGAGAAGAAGCCCCGGCUAACUUCGUGCCAGCAGCCGCGGUAAUACGAAGGGGGCUAGCGUUGCUCGGAAUUACUGGGCGUAAAGGGCGCGUAGGCGGACACUUAAGUCAGGGGUGAAAUCCCGGGGCUCAACCCCGGAAUUGCCUUUGAUACUGGGUGUCUUGAGUACGGGAGAGGUGUGUGGAACUCCGAGUGUAGAGGUGAAAUUCGUAGAUAUUCGGAAGAACACCAGUGGCGAAGGCGACACACUGGCCCGUUACUGACGCUGAGGCGCGAAAGCGUGGGGAGCAAAC
rnacentral:rRNA from 1 species